CGGGCUGUAGCGCAGCUUGGUAGCGCGCUUCGUUCGGGGCGAAGAGGCCGCGGGGUCAAAUCCCGCCAGCCCGA
rnacentral:tRNA from 1 species